CAGUUGCUUGGAGAAGCCCGUUCACCGCCUCCAGCUGCUGCUCUCCUCGACAUGGACCCUGAGACCUGCCCCUGCCCUUCUGGUGGCUCCUGCACCUGCGCGGACUCCUGCAAGUGCGAGGGAUGCAAAUGCACCUCCUGCAAGAAGAGUGAGUGCGGGGACCCUUCCCCUCUGCCGCCGCCCCCUCUGCUCUGCGGAGUCGGUGUCUCACCACGCAGGAUGUGGAGAGACAGCCAGGCCCCGAUCCCGUGGUUUCUGACUCUUGCUGGAAUAGAACCACCCGGGCAGACAUUAAAAUACAGAUGCCCCUGCCCCACACCCAGGAAUUGAUGGCCUAGGCGUGGGACGAGAGGUUUUUGUAAAUCCCCAGAAGACUCCAAUGGCAGCUGGGAUUGAGGACUGCCACACUGGUCCAACCUUUCCCGACCCAUCCCUCAAAAACUCCCCAAAACCUGGGGAAGCCAUUAGUGAGGCUGCGGCUCAGCUCUGGAGUUCCGGUCCCUUGGCCUCUCUCCGGCCUUACGGAUCCUCUCAGUUUGAUCUCAAAAUCUCCCCAGCUCACGGCAGUGUAAUAUGCAU
rnacentral:lncRNA from 1 species